CCGCACGCCCCCACCCCGGGCCGGCUCGCCUCCAUCGCGGCCGCGGCUUCCGUCCUCCGUAGCUGUGCCGCUGGAGGAAACGGAAGAAAGCGCAAGCCAUGGAGGGGAACCGGGAUGAGGCGGAGAAAUGUGUCGAGAUCGCCCGGGAGGCCCUGAACGCCGGCAACCGCGAGAAGGCCCAGCGCUUCCUGCAGAAGGCGGAGAAGCUCUACCCACUGCCCUCGGCCCGCGCACUAUUGGAAAUAAUUAUGAAAAAUGGAAGCACGGCUGGAAAUAGCCCUCACUGCCGAAAACCAUCAGGUUGUGGUGACCAAAACAAGCCUAAUUGCACGAAGGACAGCAUAUCUGGUAGUGGUGAAAGUGGAAAAGGCUACACCAAAGAUCAAGUAGAUGGAGUUCUCAGCAUAAACAAAUGUAAAAAUUACUAUGAAGUACUUGGAGUUACCAAAGAUGCUGGUGAUGAAGAUUUGAAAAAAGCUUAUAGAAAGCUUGCUUUGAAGUUUCAUCCAGACAAAAACCAUGCACCUGGAGCAACAGAUGCUUUUAAAAAGAUUGGAAAUGCUUAUGCUGUUUUAAGCAAUCCAGAAAAACGAAAACAAUAUGACCUCACGGGCAAUGAAGAACAAGCAUGUAAUCACCAGAACAAUGGUAGAUUUAAUUUCCAUAGAGGUUGUGAAGCUGAUAUAACUCCAGAAGACUUGUUUAAUAUAUUCUUUGGUGGUGGAUUUCCUUCAGGUAGCGUACAUUCAUUUUCAAAUGGACGAGCUGGUUAUAGCCAUCAACAUCAGCAUCGACAUAGUGGACAUGAAAGAGAAGAAGAAAGAGGAGAUGGAGGUUUUUCUGUGUUUAUCCAGCUGAUGCCCAUUAUUGUAUUGAUCCUCGUGUCAUUAUUAAGCCAAUUGAUGGUCUCUAAUCCUCCUUAUUCCUUAUAUCCCAGAUCUGGAUCAGGGCAAACUAUUAAAAUGCAGACAGAAAACUUGGGUGUCGUUUAUUAUGUCAACAAGGACUUUAAAAAUGAAUAUAAAGGAAUGUUAUUACAAAAAGUAGAAAAGAGUGUGGAAGAAGAUUAUGUGACUAAUAUUCGAAAUAAUUGCUGGAAAGAAAGACAACAAAGUAAGUUUAUGAAAUGUUUAACAUUUAAAAACUUAUUCAGAGUCUUUGGAAUUGAUUAUUGUAGAUUUCCCUACUCCAGAAAUGUUCUAGAAUUGCCUGGCAUGUAAUUGGAGCUCAGUACUUGAAUAUGACAAUACAUUUUAAUGUACAUGUGGCCUUAUGAUAGUGUAAACACAUAGUUUACAUAGAAAGCACUUAAUAAAUGGUAUGUAUUGUUAUCAGUAAAUAUUUGGUUGAAUAAGUGAAUAAUUCCAAAUUUCAUUGUAUUUAAGAUGUUGUCAAUUGUAACAUGCAUCAUUAUUUUAUGUAUCACUAUAAAAGAAAAAAAUUCUGGCACAUUUGUUAUGUCAUCGAUUUUAAUAUGCAUCCUAUUUCAGAGUGAAGUUUGAAACUUCAUUAAUUUAGCUUAAGCAUUUAACACUUAAUGUAUGAGUUUUGUUGACAUUUUGUUUUAUUCUGUACGUGAAGUCCUUGGGAACACUUAAUCAAUUUGUUUAGCCUUUUCCAGCCUCAGCUUCCUUAAUUUAAGAAGCAGUUCCACCCAUAAAAAGCUUGACCGUAAGAAUUUGCAGAGAUGGUGCAUGUGAAUCUAGUAUUGUUAUGGUUAUUGUUUUUCUGACUGUUCGUAUAAUAAUGUAGACCAUAUAAAGUAGACUUUGGGGUUAAACAGACUAAAGUUGAAUCCCAGCUCUGUAGUUUUUAGCUGAGUGAUUAGGACCAAAUAUUCUAACCUUCAUGAAUUUCCUCCCUCAGGUGUGAAAUGGGUGAUGCUGACUAGUGGGAAGAGGAACUAAGUGUCAUUUAUAUAAUACUUAGUUUCAGUCACUGUCCCAAGCACUUUAUAUAUAUUAACUUAUUUAAUUUCCACAACACCACUGUGAAGUUAUUAUACCCAUUUUAUAUAUGACGAAGCUGAGACACAGAGAGAUUUAGUAACUUGCCCAAGGUCAUAGAGGUAGUCUGUGAUUCAAACCAGUCAGUCCAGGCACUGUGCUCCGUAAUCUUCUCAAUAAUGCCCAACUUUAUGGGUUUGUCAUAAAAAUUAAAUCAGACAAUAAAGUGUUUCACAUGGAGUAAAUGCCCAGAAAAAUGGUAGCAGUUAUCAUCGUCUCCCAUCCAGUAGGGAAGAGUCAAUAAAACAUAACCUUUGUAUACUUCCAAGGAAGUUCUUGUCUCUGACUUUGGAGUCCUCAUCUAUAUAGUGGCAGUUAGAAGAGAAAGUGGAAGUUAGAAACCUUCUUGGUUUCCAAGUCUGAGUCUGUGAAAUCCAUCUGGUCUCAAUGUGGAGAAGGUUAUACUAGACUAUUGGUUUUCAACUGGAAAUGAUUUGCCCCUGCUUCACAAUAUGUUUGGUAAUGUCUGGAAACUUUGUGUGUGUCACUAUGGGGUGGGGGUGGGAGAGAUUGCUGCUGGCAUCCAACAGACUGAGGCCAUGGUCUGCUAAACAUCCUGCAGUGCAGGGGACAGCCCCCACAACAAAGUUCUCUGGCCCAAAAUAUCGAUAUCACUGAGGCUGAGAAACUCCAUUAGCGGAAGGUCUUAAGGACAGAGCACACCAAAUAUUAUUUAUUUCAUUUUAUUUCACUUUUUGGUCUCUAGUGCCUUGCACAAUCCUUGGCAUAUCUUGGCAUAUCGUAAACUUUUGAUGGAUAUAUGAAUAAUUGGAUGAAAGAUUAAUGAAUUCAUAAGAAUGAAUGUACGAAAGACCUGCGUAUUUUGUGUUAAAAGAACGACUAGCACGUUAGAUCUGUCACCUUUCAAAUACGAAUUCUAAUCUUCAACCACAUAUGGGUGAUUUGGGGAUUAUGCAUACUUAAAUUCUGUUACCUUAAAUAAUUGGGAAAUUGGCUGAAUAAAUAGAAAGAAGGAAGGAAAAGAUAUUCAUGUUUGUGGAAGAUAGUGUAAUGUUAUGGUAAGAGUGAAGGCUCAGAGACUGCCUUGCAAGAUAAGAUCCUGGCUCCACCAAUAUGUGACCUAGACCAAGUUACUUAACCUCUCUAAAUCGUAAUUAUCUCAUCAUUAAAAUGUGGACCAUAACAGAUAAUAUAUGUUACACUUAACAUAAUAUCUUGCAUCUGUAAGUGUUCAAUAGUAUUACUUAUGGUAUUUAUAAUCAUUUUUUAUUCUAUCCAUACUAUGAACCAAGUGUUUUUGCUUGGCAUACUUUAGUUUAAUCUUUUAGUAAUCUGGCAGGAUUGGUAUUAAUGUUUACAGACUUUGAAUCUGUUCUGUUUACCAAGUUGUCUGCAGCUAUAUUGUACACAGUUAACAUGUGUGUCUUUUAAAGUUACUAUCAGAAGGAAAUUUUAACUAAAAUCUGAUUUUAGUAAGUCAUUAUUUACAAAACCACUUGGUUGCAUUCAAGAGUAUCAGUGGAACAAGACAAAAAGACUAAAGACUUAAAAACUAAAAAGAAAUGACAACUAAAUACAAUGUAUGAUCCUGGAUUGGCUCCUGGGCGGGGAGGGGAGGAAAUGGCUGUAGUGGACAUCCUUGGGACGACUGGUGAAAUUUGAGCAUGGACUAUACAUUAGAUAAGAGGAUUCUACUGUUGUUGAAUUUCUGAAUUUGAAAAUUGUAUUGUGGUUAUGUAAGAGAAUGCUCUUGUUAGGAGAAACAUGCUGAAGUAAUUAGGAAUGAAAAGUCAUGACGUCUGCACCUUAUUCUCAAAAGGUUUUGUAAAGUAAUAAUCACCACCACAACAGUAACAGCCUUUAUUAUUGAGAGAGCUGAAGCAGAUUUGACAAAAGGUGAAGAAUUGGUCAAUCAAGGUGUAAAGGGUUUUAGAGCGUUCGUUUCAGUACGCUUUAACGUGGGUUUGGAAUUUUCAAAAUGAGAUUUAACAAAUUUAAGUGAGGAUGGAAGUGGGAGGAGCUCGGUAUGACACUAAUUAAUCCAUUGAUUGAAAGUUUUACUUGUUGAUUGGGAUGAGCUCAUCUUGUUUUAUAAAUUGAUGUCAUCAAAAAGGUUGUUGGCCAGUAGAUUUCUUUUUACCAGAGUUUUCCUGUUCUGUAGUCACUUUUAACACUGUGUAAUGUCUAGAUUGGUAAAAUAGGUGUUUUAUAAAACACAAGCAAUAAUUUGAAGUAAUGGAAAGAAUAAAAGGGUAGCGGUUUGGAGGUUUGGCUUGGAAUCUAGACCCUGCUGUUGACUAGCCCUGUGAACUUUGUUUUAUCUACCUCAUCUGGGAAGAAACAUCUGCGAAAGGAUUUCACAGAUGCUUCAUUUGUAAAUAAAAGGGAUGGAUCGAUUUUGACUGAGUUGUUAAAUCCUAGCUGGAUUGACGGAAUAAAGAUCUGUUCUGAAGAUCUUUGCCAGUAGAAUACACUCUUACUAAACAGAUAUGCAGUAUGCCGCAAAAGUGUACCGUGAUGAUCGUCUCCGAAGGAAGGCAGAUGCCUUGAG